CUUCUCAUUUAUGUGCUGCUGUAGUCUCUCAGUGAUAGGAGCAGUUAUACUCAUGGGAUAGAACAACGUUGGCCAUUGUAAGUUGAGGCGAAGUAACUACGUCAUCUUUUCCGCGUGGCUUGGGCACUG
ensembl:snoRNA